CGUGAAACUGCGAAUGGCUCAUUAAAUCAGUUAUCGUUUAUUUGAUAGUACCUUACUACUUGGAUAACCGUGGUAAUUCUAGAGCUAAUACAUGCUGAAAACCCCAACUUCGGGAGGGGUGUAUUUAUUAGAUAAAAAACCAAUGCCCUUCGGGGCUUCUUGGUGAUUCAUAAUAACUUCUCAGAUCGCAUGGCCUUGCGCCGGCGACGGUUCAUUCAAAUUUCUGCCCUAUCAACUUUCGAUGGUAAGGUAUUGGCUUACCAUGGUUUCAACGGGUAACGGGGAAUUAGGGUUCGAUUCCGGAGAGGGAGCCUGAGAAACGGCUACCACAUCCAAGGAAGGCAGCAGGCGCGCAAAUUACCCAAUCCCGACACGGGGAGGUAGUGACAAUAAAUACUGAUACAGGGCUCUUUUGGGUCUUGUAAUUGGAAUGAGUACAAUUUAAACCUCUUAACGAGGAACAAUUGGAGGGCAAGUCUGGUGCCAGCAGCCGCGGUAAUUCCAGCUCCAAUAGCGUAUAUUAAAGUUGUUGCAGUUAAAAAGCUCGUAGUUGAACCUUUGGCCUGGCUGGCAGGUCCGCCUCACCGCGUGUACUUGUCCGGCCGGGCCUUCUUUUCUGGAGAACCGCAUGCCCUUCACUGGGUGUGUUGGGGACCAGGACUUUUACUUUGAAAAAAUUAGAGUGUUCAAAGCAGGCCUUUGCUCGAAUACGUUAGCAUGGAAUAAUAGAAUAGGACGUGCGGUCCUAUUUUGUUGGUUUCUAGGACCGCCGUAAUGAUUAAUAGGGACAGUCGGGGGCAUCAGUAUUCAAUUGUCAGAGGUGAAAUUCUUGGAUUUAUUGAAGACUAACUACUGCGAAAGCAUUUGCCAAGGAUGUUUUCAUUAAUCAGUGAACGAAAGUUAGGGGAUCGAAGACGAUCAGAUACCGUCGUAGUCUUAACCAUAAACUAUGCCGACUAGGGAUCGGGCGGUGUUUCUAUUUUGACUCGCUCGGCACCUUACGAGAAAUCAAAGUGU
rnacentral:rRNA from 1 species